rnacentral:lncRNA from 1 species
AAAAAAAUGUUUGCAAGGUUCAGAAUAGCUCGCAGCAUCUGAGAAUCAGACAUGUGCGUGACGACCCAAGUGGUCACAAGAGCAUUUCAUCACAACUUCGCAACGGUUUUGUUUUGGGGUGAGAGAGGCUCGAACUCUCGACCUCAGGAUCACUCAACAAAGCUAUGAGACCUACUCGCUAGCCAACUGCGCCACUACCC